rnacentral:rRNA from 1 species
CUUGGCGACCAUAGCGUUUUGGACCCACCUGAUUCCAUCCCGAACUCAGAAGUGAAACGAAACAGCGUCGAUGGUAGUGUGGGGUUUCCCCAUGUGAGA